UACGAGGGGGCAAGCGUUGUUCGGAUUUAUUGGGCGUAAAGGGUGCGUAGGCGGUUUGGCAAGUCUUAUGUGAAAUCUUCGGGCUCAACCCGAAGUCUGCAUAAGAAACUGCCGGGCUUGAGUAUGGGAGAGGUGAGUGGAAUUUCCGGUGUAGCGGUGAAAUGCGUAGAUAUCGGAAGGAACACCUGUGGCGAAAGCGGCUCACUGGACCAUAACUGACGCUGAUGCACGAAAGCUAGGGGAGCAAACAGG
rnacentral:rRNA from 1 species